CGUUAGAUGUUACAAGCCGUGUAUGUAACGCAUGGCCUUAAUACCAUGCGUUACUUGUGCUUGUAACGCACAAGAGGGGAGGGGUCUGCCCAAGUGGGCGCCCCUCCAUCCAACAUGAACCAAGAGAUUCCUUUUCUCCCGAAGCUGCUUGUCCCCACCCGUGUUCGUUUUCCUACUCAGAGAGACCACAUCUCAACCCUGCAGGCAGGCCGCCAUGACGAAACACACACAUUUGGCACCUUUGCUCAGAUUUGGAUCACCGUUUGGUCAAGUUGGGUUAGAUCCUACCUUGUGAGGCAACGGAUCCUACUAUUAGUUCUCGGUCUCUGCCUUUCUUUACUAUUUGUCUAUCUAUGGAUCUCGUGUACAAAAAGAAUCAAAAUUUGACUGGUUUAAGGACGGAAGCUCCCGGUCUGAACCC